CCUCUCGUAGUUUAGUGGUGAGAACAUUGGUACGUAAAGCUAAAGGUCCCGGGUUCGAAUCCCGGCGGCGGUC
rnacentral:tRNA from 1 species